AUUGAACGCUGGCGGCAUGCUUUACACAUGCAAGUCGAACGGCAGCGCGGGCUUCGGCCUGGCGGCGAGUGGCGAACGGGUGAGUAAUGCAUCGGAACGUGCCCAGUAGUGGGGGAUAGCCCGGCGAAAGCCGGAUUAAUACCGCAUACGACCUGAGGGUGAAAGCGGGGGACCGAAAGGCCUCGCGCUAUUGGAGCGGCCGAUGUCGGAUUAGCUAGUUGGUGGGGUAAAGGCUUACCAAGGCGACGAUCCGUAGCUGGUCUGCGAGGACGACCAGCCACACUGGGACUGAGACACGGCCCAGACUCCUACGGGAGGCAGCAGUGGGGAAUUUUGGACAAUGGGGGCAACCCUGAUCCAGCCAUGCCGCGUGCGGGAAGAAGGCCUUCGGGUUGUAAGCCGCUUUUGUUCGGGAAGAAAUCCUCUGGGCUAAUACCCCGGGGGGAUGACGGUACCGGAAGAAUAAGCACCGGCUAACUACGUG
rnacentral:rRNA from 1 species